CUUUUCUUUGCAGGGUCAUGUGCUCUGCAGUUCAACUUGAAGGUUGCCUAAAAAGGUGGAUCAAGCUGUAUGGAGAUGGCGUCAGUUGACUUGAGGUGGGUGUUUAUGAGCAUCUCCAAUUAGUCUCUGCAGAUGGGCAUCAACUCAAUUGUUCUGGCUUAUUGCCUAUUGCUGUUCAUGAUGACUGUUUUAUAACAUUGGGAAUCUCUCUGAAUAAGACUGAAAGACCUCAUUAAUAAACUGAAACAGUACAGUUUAAAAUACUUAGGUUUUCUUUUCUUCGUUGUGUGGUAUUAAUUAAUUUUAUUUUUUAUAUAGGUUCCCCAAGAAGAUUGAAAAUGUAUGAAGACUCCAGCUGAUAUGGUAAACAAAUUGUUGUCUUUAAGUGAGAAGUUAACUUUUAAUUGUGUAGUAUCUCAAUGUUUUAGUAAAAUUGUAAUGCAAUGGUGCCCUUUUUUCCAAACUUGACUUUUAUAACCUAAAUUCUAUAACGCCACCCCUAAUUGUGAUGCAAAUGAUGACUGCAUAGUUCAGCAGAAUUUCCAUGUAGAACACAGAGCAAUGUCUUUCGCUCCUAGCUGAUGCAUCACCACAGUCCUAUUUCAAUAAUGCUCCACUCAUUGCCCAUGCUCACUUGUUGUUUCUCAUUGCAGCAAGAUGUCUGCAUGUGGCCAAUCGUUUCAGGUGAGUCUUAGUCUGCCAUAUAACCAUCCUAAAAUGUGAUGCAGAUGAUGACUGCAUAGUUCAGCAGAAACUCCAUGUAGAACACAGAGCAAUGUCU
rnacentral:sRNA from 1 species